rnacentral:rRNA from 1 species
CCUACGGGAGGCAGCAGUGAGGAAUAUUGGUCAAUGGUCGGGAGACUGAACCAGCCAAGCCGCGUGAGGGAGGAAGGUACAGAGUAUCGUAAACCUCUUUUGUCAGGGAACAAAGGCGGGGACGUGUCCCCGGAUGAGUGUACCUGAAGAAAAAGCAUCGGCAAACCCCGUGCCAGCAGCCGCGGUAAUACGGAGGAUGCGAGCGUUAUCCGGAUUUAUUGGGUUUAAAGGGUGUGCAGGCGGUCUGUUAAGUCAGCGGUAAAAGCCCGGGGCUCAACCCCGGCCCGCCGUUGAAACUGGCAGUCUCGAGUUGGAGAGAAGUAUGCGGAAUGCGCGGUGUAGCGGUGAAAUGCAUAGAUAUCGCGCAGAACUCCGAUUGCGAAGGCAGCAUGCCGGCUCCACACUGACGCUGAGGCACGAAAGCGCGGGUAUCGAACAGGAUUAGAUACCCGGGUAGUC